rnacentral:rRNA from 1 species
GGUUACUGCUAUCGAGGUUCGACUAAGCCAUGCGAGUCGAAUGUAGCAAUACAUGGCGAACUGCUCAGUAACACGUGGACAACCUGCCCUUAGGUUGGGUAUAAACCCGGGAAACUGGGUAUAAUACCCGAUAGGUCUCGAUUGCUGGAAUGCAUCGAGAUUUAAAGCUCCGGCGCCUAAGGAUGGGUCUGCGGCCUAUCAGGUAGUAGUGGGUGUAGCGUACCUACUAGCCUACGACGGGUACGGGUUGUGAGAGCAAGAGCCCGGAGAUGGAUUCUGAGACACGAAUCCAGGCCCUACGGGGUGCAGCAGGCGCGAAAACUUUACAAUGCUGGCAACAGCGAUAAGGGAACCUCGAGUGCCAGGUUACAAAUCUGGCUGUCGAGAUGCCUAAAAAGCAUUUCAUAGCAAGGGCCGGGCAAGACCGGUGCCAGCCGCCGCGGUAACACCGGCGGCUCGAGUGGUAACCGUUAUUAUUGGGUCUAAAGGGUCUGUAGCCGGCCGGAUAAGUCUCUUGAGAAAUCUGGCAGCUUAACUGUCAGGCUUUCAGGAGAUACUGUCUGGCUCGAGGCCGGGAGAGGUGAGAGGUACUUCAGGGGUAGGGGUGAAAUCUUGUAAUCCUUGAAGGACCACCAGUGGCGAAGGCGUCUCACCAGAACGGACCUGACGGCAAGGGACGAAAGCUAGGGGCACGAACCGGAUUAGAUACCCGGGUAGUCCUAGCCGUAAAC